rnacentral:rRNA from 1 species
GACCAAAGGGGGCGAGCGCAAGCGGCUCCCGCUGAAGGAUGGGCCUGCGGCUGAUUAGCUAGUUGGUGGGGUAACGGCCUACCAAGGCGACGAUCAGUAGCCGACCUGAGAGGGCGACCGGCCACACUGGGACUGAGACACGGCCCAGACUCCUACGGGAGGCAGCAGUGGGGAAUAUUGCGCAAUGGGCGAAGGCCUGACGCAGCGACGCCGCGUGGGUGAUGAAGGCCUUCGGGUCGUAAAGCCCUGUCGGGUGGAACGAAUCUCCUUUCCGCUAAUACCGGAGAGGAUUGACGGUACCACCGAAGGAAGCCCCGGCUAACUACGUGCCAGCAGCCGCGGUAAUACGUAGGGGGCGAGCGUUGUUCGGAUUUACUGGGCGUAAAGAGCGCGUAGGUGGUUCGACAAGUCGGAGGUGAAAGCCCUCGGCUCAACCGAGGAUCCGCGUCCGAUACUAUCGAACUUGAGUGCAGGAGAGGAGAGCGGAAUUCCGAGUGUAGCGGUGAAAUGCGUAGAUAUUCGGAGGAACACCGGUGGCGAAGGCGGCUCUCUGGACUGCUACUGACACUGAGGCGCAAAGCUAGGGGAGCAAACGGGAUUAGAUACCCCGGUAGUCCUAGCCGUAAACGAUGGGCACUAGGUGUGGGAGGUAUUGACCCCUUCCGUGCCGCAGCUAACGCAUUAAGUGCCCCGCCUGGGGAGUACGGCCGCAAGGUUGGAACUCAAAGGAAUUGACGGGGGCCCGCACAAGCGGUGGAGCAUGUGGUUUAAUUCGACGCAACGCGAAGAACCUUACCAAGGCUUGACAUC